UACAGAGGGUGCAAGCGUUAAUCGGAAUUACUGGGCGUAAAGCGUGCGUAGACGGUUAUGUAAGUCGGGUGUGAAAGCCCCGGGCUCAACCUGGGAAUGCCAUUCGAGACUGCAUAGCUAGGGUGCGGAAGAGGGAAGCGGAAUUUCAGGUGUAGCGGUGAAAUGCGUAGAUAUCUGAAGGAACACCAGUGGCGAAGGCGGCACGCUGGACCUUUUCUGACGCUGAGGCGCGAAAGCCAGGGGAGCGAACGGG
rnacentral:rRNA from 1 species